rnacentral:rRNA from 1 species
UACGGAGGGAGCUAGCGUUGUUCGGAAUUACUGGGCGUAAAGCGCACGUAGACGGCUUUGUAAGUUAGAGGUGAAAGCCCGGGGCUCAACCCCGGAAUUGCCUUUAAGACUGCAUCGCUUGAAUCCGGGAGAGGUGAGUGGAAUUCCGAGCGUAGAGGUGAAAUUCGUAGAUAUUCGGAAGAACACCAGUGGCGAAGGCGGCUCACUGGACCGGUAUUGACGCUGAGGUGCGAAAGCGUGGGGAGCAAACAGG